GUGAGACCCACAUAGCAACUCCAUAUCAACCAUCCAGAACACCCUAGCAUUUACAUAGCAACGCCCUGGCAACCACCCACAACAUCCUCGCAUCACGGCAGCGAGUUCUGUGUGGAGCAAACCCCCUCUGGAGCGCAAGAAAGCCUCGGACAGCAGAAGUCCAGCCCCCGAUGUUGCACUCGCUCCUAUCCGGCCUUUCAAAGGCAAGACCUUUUGGGGCUUUCAGUGACUCAGAGUGGCCAGAGUCCUGGUGAGGCCACGGAGACCCGCUGAUCUUUCUUUGGAAGAGUGAUAUUGUUGGAAUUUGAGAACAUGGAGUCACACAGCAAUGAUGGCUUUUACUGGCUGGGAGCGCUGAGCACACGUUUGGCCUUAUCGAAUGAAACAGCACUGGAAUAUUUCACGUUGACUCAUGACUUAAAGCUUUAAAAGUAAGGAACAACUUGCUUCGUUCCAAGGGAGGUUUUUCUUUCACAAAAAGCUGCAUUUACUCCAACUAAAGGAGUAGACCAUGACAUAUGCUGAACUGGAGUUCAGAGAUGCCACA